rnacentral:ncRNA from 1 species
AUUCUCAGGGCAGGGUGAAAUUCCCUACCGGUGGUAACAGCCCACGAGCACUUAAAAGUGCGGUCAAUUUUGAUUAAGUUUUUACAAAAUUGUUUCGCUUUUUCCUUUUAAGGUUAGCAGAUUUGGUGAAAUUCCAAAGCCGACAGUAUAGUCUGGAUGAAAGAGAAUA